rnacentral:rRNA from 1 species
CACCUCUAGCAUUUCAAGUAUUAGAGGCAUCGCCUGCCCAGUGACUGUAGUUAAACGGCCGCGGUAUACUGACCGUGCAAAGGUAGCAUAAUCACUUGUUCCUUAAUUAGGGACUUGUAUGAACGGCUGAACGAGGGUCCAACUGUCUCUUAUUUUUAAUCAGUGAAAUUGACCUUCCAGUGAAGAGGCUGGAAUUACUAAAUAAGACGAGAAGACCCUAUGGAGCUUAAAUUUAUAAACUUAUUUAUUAUAAUAGUACUCCUAAUGGAACAAAAACAGUAUUAUAAGCUUAAAAUUUCGGUUGGGGUGACCUCGGAGAACAAAAAAUCCUCCGAACGAUUAUAACAUAGACCAACAAGUCAAAGUAACUUAACUUUCCAAUUGACCCAAAAAUAAUUUGAUCAACGGACCAAGUUACCCUAGGGAUAACAGCGCAAUCCUAUUUAAGAGUUCAUAUCGACAAUAGGGUUUACGACCUCGAUGUUGGAUCAGGACAUCCCAAUGGUGCAGAAGCUAUUAAUGGUUCGUUUGUUCAACGAUUAAAGUCC